CCCUGGUCAAUUUGCCCUUGCGUAUAAUUAAGAUUAAACUUCAGACAGCGUGGAAGUUCUCACAUUCUUUAUCAGAUUGGAUUUUAAAUCCAAUGGAGUGUAUUGGGACUUGUUAGAAGCUUUGGUGACUUAUAGAAGAAGAUAAAGUUAACGAGCAGAUUAAUAUAUCAACAACCAGCAGGGGAAUAUGCUCGAACAGAUGGUGGGCAGAUAAGUUUGGAGCUACUAUGUGCUUAUUGCUUAAUUUCCUUUUCUUGUCUCUUGCUAUAAUGGAAACCACUUUGCAUUCUCGUAAAAAAAAUGCAAUUAGGGAUUAAAUAGAGAUUCAUUCUUAACAGAAUGACCUCGGUGGUACGCGACGGGGGUCAGUGUAUGAAUACUGAAAUUUCAAAUAAUUAGUAAAAGGGCCUCGUGCAUGAGCUAAUAAUGCCAGGAAUACCCACAAGUGAAUCUCUGAUUGGGUUAAGCUCAACCAAUUCCAUAAAUUUUUUUGAGAGGACCAGUUCCAUAACUUGUUCAACAAACAUCUGCAUCACCAAACAAAAAUAGAACAAAAUCAAAAUUAAAAUUUACUUCAUUCAUAAUGGCCAAGUUUGUCCCCUCGCACCAUGCUGAAAAUAGUAGUGAUUCAUAUACAGUAACAUGUGGAGAAUGAAAAAAGAUUAUAAAUUAAUUAAUUAAUAAAUGAUAAUUUGGCUGGGACACAUGUCAACAUUGUAUGAAGUGAUAUGUGUAGUGGGUUCGGGAAAGAUUCAAUUUUUUUUGGAAUCUCCUCCUUCUUUCUCUCAUCCUUGAGCUUCCAAUUCACAAAUUGUUUUAAGAUCGAGCAUCGGAAGACUGUGUUCAUCUCCUCCUUCGUCAUUCUCAUUUUCUCCAAUUUCCUUAUAUACGUGUAAUCUGUGAAAAGCUAAAACUUCUCAACGUGGAUGACAUCAAGCAAGAGUCACUUGCUCUUCAAAAGAUGGUUGUAGACAAUGGUGGCCAUUCUCAGAAAAUAACAUACAGGAUAUGUCAAUCCAAGAUUUCUUGGUGAUGGAAUCUGGAAACAAUAUUGUGUCACCAACUGAGGAUUUCUCUCGUCAUACUCAUGAGCCAUAUGCGAAACUAUGUCCAGAAUCACUGCAUAUACCUUAUGAGUUUCGUUGUCCAAUUUCUCUAGUGAUAAUGAAAGAUCCUGUUAUCAUUUGCACAGGGCAGGGGAGCUCCGACUUCUCACCAAGAAAAAUGGUCAAAAUCGAAUGCUGAUUGCUGAAGCGGGUGCUAUCCCCUGCCUUGUUGAUCUCCUCUAUGCACUUGACACCCAAACAAGUGUGAGGUAAAGUCCCUCAUCGAGUAGAAGUGAAAAAGUUGAGCACCAUAUAAGUGAGGAAAAGACUCAUAAACUUGAGUCUUAAGAUUUUGGGUUAAAGUGUGGUGUCAAAUUUCUUUAAAAUUCCCCAACACCAAGAGCAUGUAGCUACUGUAUGGAAGCUUGUGAAAAUGCAGCAGCCACCUUUUUCAGCCUCUCUGGGGUGGAUGGGAACAGAAUUGCAAUUGGUGCAUCUGGAGCAAUCCCAGUAUUAGUUGCUCUAUUUUGGGAGGGAAGGUGGAUGCGGCAAAAGCACUAUUCAAUCUGUGUUUAUCUCAAGGGAACAAAGGACAGGCAAUUACAGCCGGUAUUGUGCCUAAGUUGAUAGAAAUGCUAACAGAACCUGAUGGGGAUAUGAGGGAUGAGGCAUUGGCAGUAAUGGCUGUAGUAGCUGCUGGCCAUUCUGAAGGACAAGCAACAAUUGGAUCUAUGAAUGUUGUAUCCACUUUGGUGGAAUUAGUCAGUAAUGGACCUCCUAGGAACAAAGAGAAUGCAACUUCAGUGUUGGUUAUCCUAUGAAAUGGAGACCCUUUUUAUUUGUCAAUUGUCAGUUCACUUGGUGUGGUCAAUCCUCUCUUGGACCUGGCAGGAAAUGGUUCAGAAAGGGCCAAGCGAAAAGCUUCACAGCUUUUUGAGUUGAUAGGAAACCAUUGAGAAUAUACUUGGAAAGCUGCCAGCUAGAUUUUAGGUGCAUCUGUUGCCAUUUUAAUUUACAGCAGAUGGCAUAGAUAGUGAUUGUAGAUGUGAUUUAUACAACAGGUUACUAUAGUAUAGGAUCCCCAAUAUUUCCUUUUCAUGUUUUAGUUUAAAGGAAAUUUCAAUUUUACUCUGCCAAUCAAUCAUUUUAGUUGAAAUGAAUCAAUUGUGCUGUAAAGCUUGUAGGAAGUGUUAAGGUGGCUGUUAAACACAUAGUUGAAAUACAGAUAUUUGUUGUUAUCAGAAGAA